rnacentral:rRNA from 1 species
UGGGGAAUCUUGCGCAAUGGGGGAAACCCUGACGCAGCGACGCCGCGUGAGUGAUGAAGGCCUUCGGGUUGUAAAGCUCUGUGGAGAGGGACGAAUAAGUGUGGUCGAAUAGGCCGCAUGAUGACGGUACCUUUUUAGCAAGCACCGGCUAACUCUGUGCCAGCAGCCGCGGUAAGACAGAGGGUGCAAACGUUGUUCGGAAUUACUGGGCGUAAAGCGCGUGUAGGCUGCUUGGAAAGUCGGAUGUGAAAGCCCUGGGCUCAACCUAGGAAGUGCAUUCGAAACUUCCAAGCUCGAGUUUCGGAGAGGAAGGCGGAAUUCUCGGUGUAGAGGUGAAAUUCGUAGAUAUCGAGAGGAACAUCGGUGGCGAAGGCGGCCUUCUGGACGAUGACUGACGCUG